UUUGUAAUUUUUUUGUUUUUAUUUCUUUUUAUUUCCUUUGUUUAUUUACCUCAAGCGUUGGCUUUUUGUUUGGAUAAAAUAAAAAUAAACAGGAGAGG
rnacentral:ribozyme from 13 species